rnacentral:lncRNA from 1 species
GCAGAAUGCGAAGAUGUUCACGCGGACUACUACUUUCAAACGCGUUUCCAUUUGUGUGGUCGUAUUGCUAUUUCUCGGUGUCCUUUUAUUCGGCAGCUUGUAUUCUUCAGCAGUGAGGGAACGGGAGAUGUUCAAAAUGGGAAUGGGGAUGAUUCGGAGCUUUGUUAUUGGGAUUGAUCCUUUCUAUGAAGACAAAAAUGACUAUGAAGUGCUUGCUAAAGCCCAGAACAUAUCUGAAAGGAUGCUAAAUUUUGCCAACCUGAAUGAUGAAAUUCAAGGAGUACUUUCUGGCCUGGUUUCAGACUUGGAAACGGGCUGGAGGUUAUACGAAAAGGCUUUCUAUUUCAUCACCCCUUUCCCAAUGUCAUGGUGGGACGCCAAAAAGCGGUGUGAAUCGGUUGGUGGCACACUGAUUUCUGUAGAGACUGCAGAAGAAAUGAGCUAUGUGAAUAGCAUAGCGAAAGAGUUGAGUUAUCCCAUCUGGAUUGGGCUUUUUAAAGACCAGGGAAGAAACUGGAAAUGGCUGGGAGGAUCAG